rnacentral:rRNA from 1 species
UUCUAUUAGUACUAAUUAAUAGUAAGAUCUGCUCAAUGAAACAUUAUUAAAUAGCCGCAAUAUGUGCUAAGGUAGCAUAAUCAUUCGUCUUUUAAUUGAAGACUAGAACAAAAGAUUUAACAUUUCAAUCUAUUUCUUAAUUUUAAUUAUUAAAAUUAUCUUAAAAGUAAAAAGACUUUUAUAAAAAAGAAAGACGAUAAGACCCUAUCGAACUUUACUUCAGUUUAACUGGGGCAGUUAAUUAAUUAAUAUUUUAAUAAAAUUAUAAACAAAAAUAUCUAAUAAAAUUAAAGCUUAAUCAAGUUACCGUAGGGAUAACAGCAUAAUAAAUAUUUACAGAUCUUAUAUAAAUAUUAGAUUAUGACCUCGAUGUUGAAUAAUAACCUAUUAUACGCAGUAGUAUAAAAAGGAAGUCUGUUCGACUUACUAAAAAAUUACA